GGAUGCGAUCAUACCAGCACUAAAGCACCGGAUCCCAUCAGAACUCCGUAGUUAAGCGUGCUUUGGCGAGAGUAGUAUUAGGAUGGGUGACCUCCUGGGAAGUCCUCGUGUUGCAUUCC
rnacentral:rRNA from 1 species